UGAUUUUACCUGCAGAACUAAACGGGAAAAGUUGUAUGCUAUAUGUCAAUGUGUAUAUCAUAAGCGUAUAGCUUUUCCCCUUAGUCUUGUCAGUAAAAAUCG
rnacentral:pre_miRNA from 1 species